rnacentral:rRNA from 1 species
GGCGAACUGCUCAGUAACACGUCAAUAAUCUACCCUUAGGUUCGGGAUAACCUCGGGAAACUGAGGAUAAUACCGGAUGAGGUAAUUGUACUGGGAUGUCUUUUAUCCAAAACGUAAGGCCUAAGGAUGAGUUGGCGGCGGAUUAGGUAGUUGGCGAGGUAACGGCUCACCAAGCCAAAGAUCCGUAGGGGCCUUGAGAGAGGUAGCCCCGAGAAGGACACUGAGAUACUGGUCCUAGCCCUACGGGGUGCAGCAGGCGCGAAAACUUUACAAUGCACGAAAGUGUGAUAAGGGAAUCCCAGGUGCUUAUACAUUAGUAUAGGCUUUUGCCAAGAGCAAAUAUCUUGGAGAAUAAGUGGUGGGUAAGACCGGCGCCAGCAGCCGCGGUAACCCCGGCGCCACGAGUGGCAACCAUAAUUAUUUGGCCUAAAGCGUCCGUAGCCGGUUCGGUAAGUCUUUUGUGAAAUCGUUGCGCUCAACGUAACGGUGUGCAAAAGAUACUGCCAGACUUGGAACUGGGAAGGGUCAGGGGUAUUCCGAGGGGAGCGGUAAAAUGUUAUAAUCCUCGGAGGACCACCUGUGGCGAAGGCGUCUGACUAGAACAGCUUCGACGGUGAGGGACGAAAGCCAGGGGAGCAAAACGGAUUAGAUACCCGAGUAGUCCUGGCUGUAAACGCUGCGAGCAAGGUGUCGCGUAUUCUUAGUGAAUACGCGGUGUCGAAGAGAAGUCGUUAAGCUCGCCGCCUGGGAAGUAUGGUCGCAAGGCUGAAACUUAAAGGAAUUGGCGGGGGAGCACCACAAGGGGUGCGGCGUGCGGUUUAAUCCAAUUCAACACGGAGAAUCUCACCAGGAGCGACGGCAGGAUGAAGGUCAGUCUAAAGGGCUUACCAGACGAGCCGAGAGGUAGUGCAUGGCCGUCGUCAGCUCGUGCUGUAAAGUGUCCUGCUAAGCCAGGCAACGAGCGAGACCUGUAUUCACAAUUGCUAACGACCAUUUUCAUGGAAUCGAGCACAUUGUUGAGACUGCCUGGGAAACCAGGAGGAAGGCGCAGGCUACGGUAGGUCUGUAUGCUCCGAAUCUUCUGGGCUACACGCGCGCAACAAUGGUAAUGACAAUGUGAUGCAACUCCGAAAGGAGAAGCUAAUCCUCGAAACAUUACCCUAGUUCAGAUUGAGGGUUGUAACUCACCCUCAUGACGAUGGAAUCCCUAGUAAUCAGAUGUUAUCAGCAUCUGGUGAAUAUGUCCCUGCUCCUUGCACACACCGCCCGUCAAACCAUCCGAGCCGGGUUUAGGUGAGGCGUGGUUUUCAAUCACCUCGAACCUAAAUUCAGUGAGGCGGGUUAAGUCGUCACAAGGUA